rnacentral:rRNA from 1 species
UACGGAGGGUGCAAGCGUUAUCCGGAUUUACUGGGUUUAAAGGGUGCGUAGGCUGUCAGAUAAGUCAGUGGUGAAAGGCUGUGGCUUAACCAUGGGAAUGCCAUUGAUACUGUCUGACUUGAAUGAAGAAGAGGAUAGCGGAAUGUGACAUGUAGCGGUGAAAUGCUUAGAUAUGUCAUAGAACACCAAUUGCGAAGGCAGCUAUCUGGACUUGUAUUGACGCUGAGGCACGAAAGCGUGGGGAGCGAACAGG